rnacentral:rRNA from 1 species
CCUACGGGUGGCAGCAGUGAGGAAUAUUGGUCAAUGGACGAGAGUCUGAACCAGCCAAGUCGCGUGAGGGAGGAAGGCGCAGAGCGUCGUAGACCUCUUUUGCCAGGGGACAAAGGCGGGGACUCGUCCCGUGCUGAGGGUACCCGAAGAAAAAGCAUCGGCUAACUCCGUGCCAGCAGCCGCGGUAAUACGGAGGAUGCGAGCGUUAUCCGGAUUUAUUGGGUUUAAAGGGUGCGCAGGCGGGCGGUUAAGUCAGCGGUCAAAGCGCGGGGCUCAACCCCGGCGAGCCGUUGAAACUGGGAGUCUCGAGUGGGAGAGAAGCAUGCGGAAUGCGCGGUGUAGCGGUGAAAUGCAUAGAUAUCGCGCAGAACUCCGAUUGCGAAGGCAGCAUGCCGGCUCCACACUGACGCUGAGGCACGAAAGCGCGGGUAUCGAACAGGAUUAGAUACCCGUGUAGUC